GUCACUUCUUGACCUUUUGGCUAAGAUCGAGUGUAGAAUCCUUCCUUAUCAAUUCAAUAUCUGAUGUGUCCUCUAUCUGAAGACAAAACAUUCAAUGAAUUUUUGGAGUUGGAAGAUGGGAUAGGAGUUUGGUCCACCCCCUCCACCUAUCAACCUGUUAUUGCAAUACUCACAGGAAUGAUUGACUCCUU
ensembl:snRNA U2 U2 spliceosomal RNA